rnacentral:rRNA from 1 species
CCUACGGGAGGCUGCAGUGGGGAAUAUUGCACAAUGGGGGAAACCCUGAUGCAGCGACGCCGCGUGAGUGAAGAAGGAUUUCCGUACGUAAAGCUCUAUCAGCAGGGGAGAAAAUUACGGUACCUGACUCAGAAUCCCCGGCUCACUACGUGCCAGCUGCCGCGGUCAUACGUGGGGGGCCCGCGUUAUCCCGAUUUACUGGGGGUAAAGGGAGCGUGGACGGCAGUGCAAGGCUGGAGUGAAAUCCCAUGGCUUAACCAUGGAACUGCCUUUGAAACUGUGCAGCUAGAGUGCAGGAGAGGUAAGCGGAAUGCCUAGUGUAGCGGUGAAAUGCGUAGAUAUUAGGAGGAACACCAGUGGCGAAGGCGGCUUACUGGACUGUAACUGACGUUGAGGCUCGAAAGCGUGGGGAGCAAACAGGAUUAGAUACCCGAGUAGUC